GGAGAGGAAAAAAAAUUUAGGAAGAGAGAAAAAAAAUUUUUAGGAAGAGAGAAAAAAAUUUAAGACUUAUUCUCAGGAAGGAACUGAGACACUUUUUUAUUUUCUUUUUUUCACCGUUAUUUUUUUUUUCACCUUGCGGUUCAGGGCUUCCAUAGUUUAGUUAUUGUUUUGACGUUGGAGGUUGUUUUCAUAUCUUUAUUUUCUUUGUUAGCUUAGGUCUUAAAAGAGGUAAGGUAGCCGAUUUUUUUAGUUUUGUUGAUUUUCUUUGCUUUAGCCCUGCUCAUUGUCCUUCACUUCUGUGUCCAGUUUGUCUUUGUUUUAUCAUUUGUAUAUAUUCUGUAAAUAAGUAUUUGUUGUUUCACUACUGCACUGUAAAAACGAUUGGGUGUAUUACUGUUAUGAUUUGUUGCAAAAAAAAAAAGAAAUUAUGUUUAGCAGUAACCCAUAUCUUUCUCUGCCUGUUUCAUUCCAUCAUGCAAGUUAUUGGUAACUGAAACCGUUUUUAUUUUUAUUUUAUUCUCCUAAUUUAGUUAACCUUAUCACUUAUGUGUUACAUGCUCUUAUACCCCUAGACAUCUAAAGAGAGACAUAACAAUAAUGUAUGUACAUUGAUCAUUUUCAAAUAUCAAUUUAUCAUAUUUAUCCAAAGUUCUCUUAAUAUGCUGCAAUAAAUAGUGAUGGCUAUUAUGAUUUAAUUGUUUAUGAUUAAUGGUUACAUGUUACAGUAAACACAUUUUCCUUAUUGCAAAGGUACCUACCUCAAUUUUCAACAGCUUUAUUUAUUUAUUUAUUUUUUUAAGUAGCAUCAUCCUAAAGAUUUAAUGAUUAGAAAUUGUAAGGAUUUGUGUAUUUUAGUGGCAUAUUUUUCAAAGACACAUAAAAGGAUAUAAUGAGCAGUAUUUACAUGUAACUUGUGCUCUAAUUUAAUUAUUCUCUCACCUAAGAGAAUAUAAAACUUUCAUGAUAAAAAAAUUUAGGAAAACAGGAAUGGUCAAGCAUGAGUAAAUAAUUUCAUGAAACGAACAGGUGUCCUUUCACUCUUGCCUGCCAGAUAUACUUGAAUUGUCUUUUCACUAUCCACUGACCAGCACACCUCCACAAUGAAAACCCAGACUAUAUGUGUGAGUGUGAGAUACUGAUCAAACCUGAUCAGCUCUGCAGGUAAUGAAAUCUGUAGCUUGAGAGUUAAUUAACUGAGCCUACUCUUAAAUCAUGUCACUGCUGGAACAGUCACAUCGCAGAGAGAGCAUUUUGUAACUAAAAUGAUCAAUGUACGUGGUGAGCAUUUGUUUAAAAAUUAUACAAAAGAAACUUUAUAUUAGGUGUCUAACUAUUUUGUACUAACAUUAAAAAAUUAAUAAGGCCUAUUUGAUGAAAUGUGCUUACUAUUUAUGUGUGUUGUUCUGUUAAACUUUUAUGAAAUUCACAUUAGCUGCUACUGAAGUUGGGAUAUGGGUAGGUUUAGAGGUUAGAGUUAGGUUUAGGGGUUAGGGUUUGGGGUAGAUUUAUAAUUACAUGCAGGUACUUCAAAAUAAAUACAAUAUAACAACAUGUAUGUACAUAAGUACAUUGUAUCAAAUGCUUUUUUUUUUUGUAAAAUAAGUACAUAGUAGUUUAAGACACCUAUUAAAUAUGCUAAAUUCCCAUAAAUAUCUCAUAUUCGAAUAAAAAACUAAAUGAGCUCGGAAUACCCGUGCGUGUACAAAAGUACAAAGUAGUUUACGAAGUUCAACAAAUUAAUUUCAAUAUCCACUAUGUUUAAUGACAUAAUGGCUUGUAUGAUGUAAUAGCCAUUGUUUAUGGUUGCAUGAUGAGCCACAUCUGUCUGCUGAUGGGGGGCUGUAGCACUGAAUCACACACACCAUCUCCUUAGGGUACAUAUGGAAUUUUAUUCGAUCAUUCAUCCUCUCUGUCUCUUUGUCUUACGUGAGCUUUACAGUCAAAGCAAGACCCGUCAUAAUUAUUUCAGUCCAUCACGGGCCUGUGAUAGCUGAUCUUUUUUUAUAGGCUUAAUAUAAUUUACAGCCUUUUAAGCACACUCACAGGUGGCAUAUGUUAGAUCUUGACUGUUGCAAUCAAGCAGCAUGACAUGUUGUGAUUUAACAAGCUGUGGGAGGCUUGCAGGGCAAAGACACAGAGAGGGAGGAAGAAAUAAAAAUGGAUGUGAAAAAUGGUGAGAAGCGGACGCUGUCAAACUUAUACGGAACUCUGUUGCAUCUUUGUGAACAUGCAUUGGGAGAUUUGCACUAUUGUUUUAAACAAUAAUUUAAUCUCUAUUUCAUAUACUUUUAACAUUAUAAUAACAGUUUAUGUCAUGUUUUAUUGGUCAUUUCCUCUGAAUUGGAAGGGGCUAGUUGUCACACUUCUUACUCCAGUGAAUAUUUCUCAGGAAUAAAGAUACAGCUCAUUGAACACCCUAUAGUGGGUGUCACACUGCGGGAACACAAAACAGUGAGGAUGGCUAACUGCAGCCUGUGCCAGCCAGAUAUCACCUCAGACUUCACAGAGAAUGAUCUGAUACCAUUACCAACCGUCAGACAUGGGGUACUUCACUGGCCACUGCCUGAAACUUGGACUUCAGAAGGACUACACCGGAAAUUAAUCUGCCACAAGCUUACAGUCGAACUACAGUGCACCUUACUGAUCUCUGCCUACAUCACCUUGGUCAAAGGAUGGACUACACUCUUAAAAUGGAAUACAUAGAUAAUAAAUUAAUUGUAGCCUUCAUCAGCCAAUUAACAAAGGACGACGCAUCUUUGUGCACUUCCGCAGAUAAUUUAGGAUGGAAAGACUUUAGUCAUUAAUCGUACAGUUCAUGCUAAAUCUUUUUGUUUAAAUAUUGGCCCCUAACACUUACUUAGUUUACUAUUUUAAACCAAGACUUGUACUAUACAUAAAUAACUAAUAUUGGCAUUAUAUUCAUGCUGUUUAGCCAGAGGGGAACUGGCCCUUACAGUGAGCCUGCUCUCCACCAAGGAUAUUUUUCUCCUUUAACCAACAUCUUAUGGAGUUUUGUGUUCCUUGCCACAGUCACCUUUAGCUUCCUCACUGGGGGUCUAAAUACAAUUAUUAUUUACUUAUUUAUUUAAUUAUUUAUUUAAAGGCACAAUUUAUAAUCAUGUUGUUCAUUAAACUACACUGCUAUAUUAAAGCUUCUUUUUCUGUUAAAGCAUAAUUUUCUUUAAAGCUGUAUUGAAAUGGUGUGUAUUGUGAAAUUAUA